rnacentral:rRNA from 1 species
GACGAACCGUGCGAACGUUAUUCGGAAUAACUGGGCUUAAAGGGAGCGUAGGCGGGCUAUCAAGUCUGGGGUGAAAUCCCACGGCUCAACCGUGGAACUGCCUUAGAUACUGACGGCCUCGAGGGAGAUAGGGGCAUGCGGAACUGUAGGUGGAGCGGUGAAAUGCGUUGAUAUCUACAGGAACUCCGGUGGCGAAAGCGGCGUGCUGGAUCUCUUCUGACGCUGAGGCUCGAAAGCGUGGGGAGCAAACAGG